GCGUACGUAGUUUAAAUUAGUAAAAUAGGUACUUGAAAAGUAUCAGAUAGGGUUCUCGUAGGCA
rnacentral:tRNA from 1 species